GGACGUCAGACGGGUGGAGCGGCCACAGAUGAUGGCGAUUAUAAUCAGCCCUCUUUAAAAGCAAUGGACGCCGCCACCUCGUCGCCCGAUCAACGUGUCUUUUUGCUAAGUCCUGUUUUUUGCGCGCCCCUUGUCGGAUUUCAUGCCUGCCUUCCUUCCCGAGCUUCAUCACCUCACGCCCACUCCACGACCCGAUCAUCGAGUUCCACUGCUUUUGUGUUGGAAACAAUAAAGCAAUUUGGUUUAUUGCCACACCGUGCCUGUGUCUGCAUAAAGAUCCCCUCCAUUACGGGAAUCCUAACACAGGAAGGAUCUCCGGAGUCAUUUGUUCGAGGAUUCAAGGUUUGGUUUUCCUGGGAUGGGAAUGGACAAAAAGUACAAAAUGCGCACAUGUUCUAAUGACUCUUAACCUAUCGGCGCCAACAGCCUCCAACGGCGUUUAGGACCAUCCUCAUCUAAAAGACAAAACAACACAACUUAUCUUGACCAGGCUGCUGCUGGUUUUUGGAGGGCGAAUAUGAGGAAAAACCUAUAAAAAAAAGAAGAAGCAGGCAUGAGUCCGUCACAUCAGGAAGCGUUGGCUGCUGCAUUUUGAUAGGCGGCAUGCCAAGGAGGCAGAGUGACAGAGUGUGGCGCUCGCACACUGCGACGACACUCUCGCCCGGCUAGAGAUGCUGCGGGAUCAGUGAAACAGCGGGAAUCUUUGUGUCCGCGCACAA